UGCUACUUUCGUGUAAUCGCGUGUGUCGGUUAGACCACCUGUUUUACCGUCGUCAAGACUCCAACUUAUCGUCUCGUUUAGACAUUGGUUUGAUAUAGUAUAUUCGCAAUUUUAGAUUGCAUCUGCUAUUUAUCUUGUUCUUGCUUGUUCUUCGAUUGCUUGCAGGAACAAAGACCUUCGUGGUCAGGUUGAUCGUGCCCCCGCGUGAUCAAUAACCCUUUGGAGUUGGUGUAUCGAUUGCUAAGGCGCUGCCUCCUAGGCCGUAGUCGGAUCGUCAACGUCACCUCCUACCCAAAUCGAGAGUUACCAAUCUCAUCGAAAGAUCGGGCCACCCGCACCCGUAUCACGUGGUAUCAGAGCUUAAGGUUGCUCGGUGAGAUUUUUCCAGUUUAUCCGUAGUUUAGAUCUGUUUUUUACCUAUCGUCCAGAAAAAGCCAAACAAAAAUUAGAAUUAGUUACCUUGUCCUAGAACCAAUCUGAGCCUUGCAAUUUUCACAUUAGUAUUUGCAUUGUUGAAUCUUUGCUGCAUUAAUCGUGUCGAGUUGCUGGAUUAGAUUGGAUCGUUUUUCAGAUUUUUUCUACUAGAUCGAACUUGCUUUUGGUUUUCUUGUUCUUCGUGUGACGCAGGUUUCCUUCAUCAAUCUUCCGCCGCCAAACUUCCUGCCACACCACCACCAUAAUCUCCCGCCACCACCAUAUCUUCCACCGAGUCUCUCUUCGAGUCCUACACCGAGUCCCUCUUGGAGUCCUACACCGAGUCCCUCAUCGAGUCCUACACCGAGUCCCUCAUCGAGUCCUACACCGGGUCCCUCGUCGAGUCCUACACGGUGUCCUACAUCGAGUUCUACAUUGAGUCGGCAAGUAAUAGUUUUCAGCCGCAAGUUCGAGUCCGAGUCCAAUAAGGAGUGCUUUUGGAAAGUUUUCAUAAUAGAUCGAAUUUUGUUUAGAGAUCAAGUUGUUCGGAAAGUUGUCAAAAAAAAAAGAAAGGAAAGAAAAAAAAAAGGAAAGAAAGAAAAAAAAAAGGAAAAAAAAAAGAUAAAGAGUUCGAGUCAGUUUCGGACCCGAGUCCGAGUAGAAUUUUAGUUUCGGAUGGGUUUGACUCGUGUUCAGUAAAACGGGCGUAUAUUUUGCAUACCAACUC
rnacentral:lncRNA from 1 species